rnacentral:tRNA from 1 species
GGUGGUUCAAUGGUAGAGCGCUUGCCUUGCAUGCAUGAGGCUGUGGGUUCGAUUCCUCAGCACCA